rnacentral:lncRNA from 1 species
CCUUUCCCAAGGUAUUCCAGGUCUUGCUCGUGAGAAAGCACAGAUGUGAAAAAAUUCAUCUGACUUAGGACGUUAGGUGCAAAUGCCAUAGAAACCACCCGAGUGUCACCUUCCAACUUACAGACAGACAUGAAACCUCAAGAAAUAUUCUCCUUCCACAUCCACCCCCGAGGUGAGACUUCUGGGCUGAGUC